GGUAAAAUGGCUGAAAUUUAGGCGAUAAAUUGUAAAUUUAUUUAUGAAAUUAUUUCUUUUACCA
rnacentral:tRNA from 1 species